AAAGUCGUAACAAGGUUUCCGUAGGUGAACCUGCGGAAGGAUCAUUAACAGUGCCCGCGGGAGCGCCUUGAGGUGUCUCCUUGCGUUAGGCCCAUUCGUGUCUACCGACCCCCGUUGCUUCGGCGGGCCGGCCGCUGGCCGCCCGGGGACCGUGCCCCUGUGCCACUCCCCGGGAAAGUGCCCGCCGGGGGACCAUAUGAACUUCGUGUGAAGCAGUGCCCUCUGAGUGGAAUCAUCAAAUGAUAGUAAAACUUUCAACAACGGAUCUCUUGGUUCCG
rnacentral:misc_RNA from 1 species